rnacentral:lncRNA from 1 species
AGACUUGUUGAAAAUGAAGUACCCACCUCCAAGAUCAUUUCAUAACUCCUCCACUUACUCAAGUAAGGGGAACCUUUCCAGAUUGCUCAACUUAAAAAUACAAGAAACUCUACAAAUUCUGAACCAGAAGACAGGGAUAUGACUCUGAUCCAAGCUUUUCCCUCAGGAAUUUGGACCACAAAUGAAUUGAGAGAAAUGCAAAUUUUAAUGGUUAAAGCCACAGUGUCCUGUCACAGAGCUUUGAUUUCAGAGCUAUAACAAUACAGGUUUCCCCCAUUAUUCAAACUCUCUCCAAACUCCCAUGUUCUGAACCCAGAAAAGGAAUUCAUUUGGAUAGCAAAGAAUACUUGUAUAAAGAAUAGAAUGUGCCCCCAAAGCUCUUUAUUAUUGGAAGUCUCUACCUUAGAGUCAAGAAACAGUACUGACUGAUGACAUUCAUUCCGCAAGAAAACAGUAAGAAGCAUUUCUUCCAAUGCACCUUUGGAACGCAUGAAUCGUUGUGCUUUCUGAACAUGUUUUGACAUGUUUUAGCUGAUAAUCAUUUGGUUCUGUGGUGUUCAAAGAAGUUAUUUCUACUGAUGGCAUUUUAAAACAGUAUGUCUAAAGCCAGGGGCGGUGUUACAUACCUGUAAUCCCAACAGCUCGGGAGGUUUGAGGCAGG